CGAACGCUGGCGGCGUGCUUAACACAUGCAAGUCGAACGGCAAGGCCCCUUUGGGGGUCCUCGAGUGGCGAACGGGUGAGUAACACGUGAGUAACCUGCCCUUGACUUCGGGAUAACUUCAGGAAACUGGGGCUAAUACCGGAUAGGAAUCCUUGCUGCAUGGUGGGGGUUGGAAAGCUUCGGCGGUUUUGGAUGGACUCGCGGCUUAUCAGCUUGUUGGUGGGGUAGUGGCUUACCAAGGCUUUGACGGGUAGCCGGCCUGAGAGGGCGACCGGCCACAUUGGGACUGAGAUACGGCCCAGACUCCUACGGGAGGCAGCAGUGGGGAAUAUUGCACAAUGGGCGGAAGCCUGAUGCAGCAACGCCGCGUGCGGGAUGACGGCCUUCGGGUUGUAAACCGCUUUCAGCAGGGGCGAAGCUUGUGGUGACGGUACCUGCAGAAGAAGCACCGGCUAACUACGUG
rnacentral:rRNA from 1 species